rnacentral:lncRNA from 1 species
ACUUAGAGCCGAGUGGGACAAAGCCUGGGGCUGGGCGGGGGCCAUGGCGCUGCCAUCCCGAAUCCUGCUUUGGAAACUUGUGCUUCUGCAGAGCUCUGCUGUUCUCCUGCACUCAGACCCUUCUGGGCUCUGCCCGCUGGGGGCCUGAAGACAUUCCUGGAGGACACUCCCAUCAGAACCUGGCAGCCCCAAAACUGGGGUCAGCCUCAGGGCAGGAGUCCCACUCCUCCAGGGCUCUGCUCGUCGGGGGCUGGGAGAUGUUCCUGGAGGAGGACACUCCCAUCAGAACUUGGCAGCCUUGAAGUUGGGGUCAGCCUCGGCAGGAGUCCCACUCCUCCUGGGGUGCUGCCUGCCACCGAGAGCUCCCCCACCUGUACCACCAUGUGGGACUCCAGGCACCAUCUGUUCUCCCCAGGGACCUGCUGACUUGAAUGCCAGCCCUUGCUCCUCUGUGUUGCUUUGGGCCACCUGGGGCUGCACCCCUUGCCCUUUCUCUGCCCCAUCCCUACCCUAGCCUUGCUCUCAGCCACCUUGAUAGUCACUGGGCUCCCUGUGACUUCUGACCCUGACACCCCUCCCUUGGACUCUGCCUGGGCUGGAGUCUAGGGCUGGGGCUACAUUUGGCUUCUGUACUGGCUGAGGACAGGGGAGGGAGUGAAGUUGGUUUGGGGUGGCCUGUGUUGCCACUCUCAGCACCCCACAUUUGCAUCUGCUGGUGGACCUGCCACCAUCACAAUAAAGUCCCCAUCUGAUUUUU